GUCUUAUGAUGAUGCUGGUUUUCAGCCAACCUUGAGUGAGUAAAAGCCGGGUCUGAGGUCUCAGUGCCUGCGUGGCUGAUAUGAGCAGCUUGCAUUUCUGACUGGG